AGAUAAUCCACUGAUUCAAGACCUUUCUCAUCUCUUGGUAAGACACUGACAGGUCACUGUGGAAUGAACACAGCAGGACCACAGGCAUUUGCCUCUUGCUACUAGAUCAGUCCAGUGGCUAGCCUGGCAUCUGGGUGUCCCAGAUGAGGUCAAGAAGAAACAGUUGAGAAUGCAUGGUGAAUGGAUACUGCCGAACAUGAUAUCCUUUCUAGCCUGAUCAGUGAAGUACUUCUGGCAAGAAGCAACCUCUACAGGAGCUGUGGCAUUGGGAUUUCAACAGUUACAUGGCCAGAGAAAUCGACUGAAGGGCUGACAGCCCUGCAGUAACAUAUGUGCUGUGCAGCAAAAGCCAGAGCAAUAAUGAGACUCUGUGCACAGACUCCACAGAAAACAGCUUUCAUCUGAAGAAUUCUCUUGGGAACCCCUUGCAGUACCCAUUAAAGUACAAAGAAACCUCUUCAAGCCAGACGCCUACUCCAGUCCUGUGCAUCCAGUCCCAAGAGCACAGCCUGACUUUCUUACAUAUAUUGAGAGUGUCAAACUGGAAAAUUUGCGAAGCCCCUCUAGACAGUAACACAAGGAGUUGUGCUGGGAAGACAUCCUCCAUGGCACCUAACCAGCUUUCUGGUGAGGAGAUACACAGGACACCUCCUGGGGACCACAGGGGAUUGUCCAAGAGGCUUUCAUCCCCACACCAACCUCCUUGGCCACCCUCUCCAUAAGGCCUGAAGUCAACACUGUGAGAAGUAGGGGGAAAGAAGAACGAAACACCUUCCCUGUCCCUCAGAAAGGACUGGGGCCUGCCAGCAUCUCCACAGCCUGCAAGGACAGAUCAAAUGCACAGGAUUCAAAUGAUGGUCUCAGUAAGUCAGCGAGCAACGCAGCCCGAGGAGUAAUUAGAUCUGAUGACAACAUAACAGUCAAUGGUUUGUCUAAUACAUCUUUCCAUGUCAUGUUGAAUUAAGGGCUGCUGGAAAGGAGGGGAAUAAGCAGAAAACAAUUAUCCAUAAUCUUUACAGAGGAGCAAAUAUA